UUUCCUAAGUCUUAUGACUAGCCAAUGCCUGAAAUAAUGAACUCCUCCAAGGCAAGAAAUCUGUUUUGAAGCUUCUCUGCGUUCACACACAGCAGCCUGGUUUCCUGGAAGGGCAUUUUCCACAUUGUGCGUUAUGGAUGAUCAUCCCAGGCAUCAGGUGUGAAGCCCUGCAUCCACAUCCAGGGGCUAUCAAAUCUCUCUGCAAAAGGAGAAGCUGGACUCAGGCACGUUUACAGUGAUGUGUAUGCAGGUCUGUGAAGGAAGCUGCAGAAGAAAAAGGUGAAAGAGGUGAGGAAGCUGCAGAAGAAAACCUGGAAGUUAGCAGAGCUUGAUCCAGAGGUUUAAGGAAAGAAGCCAUCUCCAUAACAUAAAAGUGCAAGGUGAAGCAGCAAGUGCUGAUGGGGAAGCUGCAGCAAGUCAUCCAGAAGAUCUUGCUAAGGGUAUGCACAGAUGUGGAAACAGGAACUGAUGUGUCCAUUACACCACUAGGACAGAGGCCAGAACAAUGAAGAAACCAAAUACUUGGAAGAGGGUAGAGAUAAUGAAUGGAGUCCAAGAGCCCUGAUUGUGCCAUAAAUGUCCAGAUAAUUCCAUACCUGAGGAUUAUGUGGUUUGUAAACUUGGCACUUAG
rnacentral:lncRNA from 1 species